AUUGAACGCUGGCGGCAGGCUUAACACAUGCAAGUCGAACGAGUGGCGGACGGGUGAGUUAUAUCUGGGAAACUGCCUGAUGGAGGGGGAUCACUACUGGAAACGGUAGCUAAUACCGCAUACUCUCAUAUGUGCCCCGAUGGGAUUAUCUAGUUGGUGGGGUAACGGCUCACCAAGGCGACGAUCCCUAGCUGGUCUGAGAGGAUGCCCAGCCACACUGGGACUGAGACACGGUCCAGACUCCUACGGGAGGCAGCAGUGGGGAAUAUUGCACAAUGGGCGCAAGCCUGAUGCAGCCAUGCCGCGUGUAUGAAGAAGGCCUUCGGGUUGUAAAGUACUUUCAGCGGGGAGGCGUUACCCGCAGAAGAAGCACCGGCUAACUCCGUGCCAGCAGCCGCGGUAAUAC
rnacentral:rRNA from 1 species